rnacentral:rRNA from 1 species
UACGGGGGGGGCAAGCGUUGUUCGGAAUUACUGGGCGUAAAGGGCUCGUAGGUGGCCAACUAAGUCAGACGUGAAAUCCCUCGGCUUAACCGGGGAACUGCGUCUGGUACUGGAUGGCUUGAGUUCGGGAGAGGGAUGCGGAAUUCCAGGUGUAGCGGUGAAAUGCGUAGAUAUCGUAAGGAAGACCAGUGGCGAAGGCGAGUUCCUGGACAGUUGCUGACACUGAGGCACGAAGGCUAGGGGAGCAAACGGG